rnacentral:tRNA from 1 species
GGUAGCGUGGCCGAGUGGUCUUAGGCUCUGGUUUUAGGCACCAGUCAUUUCGAUGGCGUGGGUUCGAAUCCCACCGCUGCCA